AACCUAGACCUAAGGAAUACGGACCUUACCCUCAGAACUUAGGAAACGGUGGAUCUGAAGAGAGACCCCCACCCCCCUUUUUUGAAGCGUCUUCUUCUUUACAGGCUUUAGGAGACCCUUCCAUCUCCUCUCCAAACCAAUAGCCAUGGCUUCACCCUCAUCACCACCAAAUCCUUCAGCACACGCCAUUUAACUCCCCUUCUUCAUCCAUCAUUUCCUCACAGCCACCAAAUCGCCGGAAAUCCGGCAUUCAUCAGCUCCCCCUUUCUCUUCGAUUCUUUUUAUCUCAUCUCUAACCUUGAAAAAAAUGGAAACAAAGACCUGACAAGCUUGGAGACCAAAAGCAAUAGAAAAACCGAAUUUCAAAGAAGAUCUGAAAGGGAGUUUGGUCGCUGAAAUGUUAAAAUUCGUCUUCCUCCUUUCUUUGGGCUCGUAUGAAGUUGUGAAUGGACUGUGUUGCUGAACUCGUUGUUCCCGAUUUUAAAUGUUCUAUUCAUCUUCAGCGUUAACUUUACUUGGUUAUUUGGGACUGUAUUACUGCCGCUAAGGUUGUCAUUUUUAAGAUGGUUCUGGAACCGGAUUAUUGGUUUGUCUAGUAUUCUACCAGAAUUUUUGGCUUAAAAUAUGGUAUACAGUGGGAGGGACUUUAGGGAUUUGCCCUCUGGUUUUGUUUAAUUAUCAAUUCCUUUUUGUAAGUAAUUAAGUGUCAAGUUGUUUUUUUAUUUGAGCUACAUGAUCCAUCUUGAUCAAAGUUAGUUUAUAAUGGACUGAGUUGGACCCUUUAGCAUAUGAGAAUUGGAAUGUGAGAAACAUAUGGUCUUUGACACAAACGGAGUGUUGAUGUUAACCAAUCUUGUGUAUUGUUGCUAUUAACCAAGGUAUUCUGAAUAAUGGAAAAUUUCUUUCCUUUUUUUUGGUGAAA